AGGAAACUAAAACAUUGUCAUCAAAAUUUUAUCAAAUUAAAAAAAAUAGCCGGGACCAAAUAAUUCAAAAAAAAUUGGCUAACAACGUAAAAAAUAUGAAUGCAAAUAUAAAGGCCUUUAUGCAAAAAAAAACCUCCAACGGUAUUUAUUUAUCGACGGACACAACUAGAGCAAACUCUGUUUCCGGGCUUUCGGCACUCUCAUCCGUGUAUCGCUCAACACAAGCCAAGUCAUGCGGGCAUCUCAGCACCACGCACCACCGCAGCCACUGCCGCUCCCUCCGCCUCCGCUGUCUCUCCCGUCACCGUCCGCGGCGCCUCGGCGUGGGCGCCACAGCAGCACCCACUCAUCCUCCUCGUCGUCCUCCUCCUGCAUCUCCGGCCCGUCGCCGUCCUCGGCUCCGUUCCCGCACGCCAGCACCACCUCCUCGCUCGUGCCAUUCUCGUGGGAGCGCCACGCGGGCGUGCCCAAGAACUCGUCCCGUCACCCGUGGCGGGCCGCCUCGCCCACGUGCACCCCGCUGCCGCCGCCGCCGCCGCUCCGCCCGGCCCCUCGACGCCGGCGCGCCAAGGCCCCGGCCACGUCGUCCUCCGACGCCAAGGAGGACCCCUUCGUCGCCGCCUUCGCCGAGUGCACCAGGGACGACGACUACGCUGCCGACGUCGACGGCGACAGCAACAAGCUCGCGCCGGUGCCGGCGAAGAAGGCAGCGGUGGUGUCACCAGGCCGCGCCGAGCGCCGGAGGUGGAUGGCCGGCGGCGGCGGGCUCGUGGCCUUCCUCGACAUGCACGGGUGCAAGAGCGCCAUGGAUGUCGUCGUCGCUGACGGCACCUUCCAGCCCCGCGCCGGCUCGUCGCUGCUGCGAAUCAUCGAUCCCAGGCCGCGCCGGCCCGGGGAGCCCCAACCCCAAGCUAAGUAACAUAACAGAGGCGCCAAUCUGAUCAAACUUUAUUAUAUUACAGUGAUUAUUGUAGCAUCAUUCAAGGCAUAUAGGACUAUAGAUAUGUUAUGGAUCAGACGAAUUGAAGGAUUGAGAACGCUCUGCUGAAGGAGGAUUGGAUUGGGAAUCGGAUCAACCUCCAGGCUCAGCUCCAUCUCCUGAACUGGUGUUAAUUCCGCUGUUGACGUUCUUGGGAAGUGGGAACACUGGAAUUCGUGAUCAGACUGAGACGGCAGAAGAUAUGUAUGUGCUCCAUCUUUUGAGCAUGCACCAUGCGGAACCGGAGCGCACAAUCUGGCAUUUGUAUUGUACUCCUACUCCUACAGAAGGAUGGAGCUCUUUCCUACCAUCGACGACGUCACCAGUAUAGGUGCCAUGUACAUGUCACUCCAUAACUCGGCAACAGUUUUGGCGCGCAUUGUACCAUAUGAAUAGUGGCCGUCUCGUCUCACUGAAUAGUAGGAGUACGUUGUU
rnacentral:misc_RNA from 1 species